UACGGCAGGCUUACACAUGCAAGUCGAGGGGUAACAGAGGGUGCUUGCACCUUGCUGACGACCGGCGCACGGGUGCGUAACGCGUAUGCACCUACCUUUUACAGGGGGAUAGCCAGAGAAAUUAUUGGAUGUAAUAACCCCCUAUAAGCUCUACUGAGCAGUAUCUCUAUAUAGAGGAAAACUUUGGUGGUAAAAGAUGGGCAUGCGUCCAAUUAGCUAGAUGGAGAGGUAACGGGUCCCCAUUGCGACGAUAGGUAGGGGUCCUGAGAGGGAGAUCCCCCACACUGGUACUGAGACACGGACCAGACUCCUACGGGAGGCAGCAGUGAGGAAUAUUGGACAAUGGAGGCAACUCUGAUCCAGCCAUGCCGCGUGCAGGAAGACUGCCCUAUGGGUUGUAAACUGGGUUUAUACAGGAAGAAACCUAUCUACGUGUAGAUAGCUGACGGUACUGGACGAAUAAGGAUCGGGUAACUCCGUGCCAGCAGCCGCGGGUAUACGGAGGAUCCAAGCGUUAUCCGGAA
rnacentral:rRNA from 1 species